rnacentral:piRNA from 1 species
UGGGGUUUCNCAGUGCUAUGCCUUACCCA